GACGUAGGGGGCAAGCGUUAUUCGGAAUUAUUGGGCGUAAAGCGCUCGUAGGCGGGACUGGAAGUCCGUGUUGAAAGACCUCGGCUCAACUGAGGGACCGGCUCGGAUACUCUAGUUCUUGAGGCAAUCAGAGGGUGAUGGAAUUCCCGGUGUAGCGGUGAAAUGCGUAGAUAUCAGGAGGAACACCAAUGGCGAAGGCAGCUCGCUGGGACGGUACUGACGCUGAGACGCGAAAGCGUGGGGAGCAAACAGG
rnacentral:rRNA from 1 species